GACGAACGCUGGCGGCGUGCCUAAUACAUGCAAGUAGAACGCUGAAGCGAGGAGCUUGCUCUUCUUGGAUGAGUUGCGAACGGGUGAGUAACGCGUAGGUAACCUGCCUUGUAGCGGGGGAUAACUAUUGGAAACGAUAGCUAAUACCGCAUAACAAUGGAUGACACAUGUCAUUUAUUUGAAAGGGGCAAUUGCUCCACUACAAGAUGGACCUGCGUUGUAUUAGCUAGUAGGUGAGGUAACGGCUCACCUAGGCGACGAUACAUAGCCGACCUGAGAGGGUGAUCGGCCACACUGGGACGGAGACACGGCCCAGACUCCUACGGGAGGCAGCAGUAGGGAAUCUUCGGCAAUGGGGGCAACCCUGACCGAGCAACGCCGCGGGAGUGAAGAAGGGUUUCGGAUCGUAAAGAUCUGUUGUAAGUCAAGAACGAGUGUGAGAGUGGAAAGUUCACAAUGUGACGGUAGCUUACCAGAAAGGGACGGCUAACUACGUG
rnacentral:rRNA from 1 species